GGGCGUAAAGAGCUUGUAGGCGGUUUGUCGCGUCUGCUGUGAAAAUCCGGGGCUCAACCCCGGACUUGCAGUGGGUACGGGCAGACUAGAGUGUGGUAGGGGAGACUGGAAUUCCUGGUGUAGCGGUGAAAUGCGCAGAUAUCAGGAGGAACACCGAUGGCGAAGGCAGGUCUCUGGGCCACUACUGACGCUGAGAAGCGAAAGCGUGGGGAGCGAACAGGAUUAGAUACCCUGGUAGUCCACGCCGUAAACGUUGGGAACUAGGUGUGGGUCUCAUUCCACGAGAUCUGUGCCGCAGCUAACGCAUUAAGUUCCCCGCCUGGGGAGUACGGCCGCAAGGCUAAAACUCAAAGGAAUUGACGGGGGCCCGCACAAGCGGCGGAGCAUGUGGAUUAAUUCGAUGCAACGCGAAGAACCUUACCAAGGCUUGACAUACACCGGAAACACCCAGAGAUGGGUGCCCCGCAAGGUCGGUGUACAGGUGGUGCAUGGUUGUCGUCAGCUCGUGUCGUGAGAUGUUGGGUUAAGUCCCGCAACGAGCGCAACCCUCGUUCUAUGUUGCCAGCGCGUAAUGGCGGGGACUCAUAGGAGACUGCCGGGGUCAACUCGGAGGAAGGUAAU
rnacentral:rRNA from 1 species